CUGAUAAUGCAUAGCCAGCCGAAGCUGAUGUGCAGGCUGACGGAUCACCGCCGUGGUUCGUUGGCCAUGUAUGCAUCGGCCGUUUCGCACGGUCACUGAUGUGUACGCCGGUGGAUCAUCGCCUUGAUUUGCUGGCAAGCCCGUGCUGCUGAGGAGUGAUCGUCAUGUCAUUCUUCGGCUUGGGCUGGCGUGUGCUGACCAACAAGUCAGGCAUGCCUUAUCCCGUUGGCCAUUUUGAUCGAUCUGUUGUUCGGUGGAUGGGGAUGCAGUAGUAGUUUAGCGCACACUGAACCGCGACAGAUGUGCAUUGUACGUGGCCUGACCACCCACGUACGCUUA
rnacentral:rRNA from 1 species